rnacentral:ncRNA from 2 species
AGACGCGGCCGUAACUGACGGAACGAGUGGGCUUACCACAGGGGAACGGGCGCGGAGUUUUGAUGCCGACCGUCUGGGCAACACCG